UUUAACUGAAGAGUUUGAUCAUGGCUCAGAUUGAACGCUGGCGGCAGGCCUAACACAUGCAAGUCGAGCGGAA
rnacentral:rRNA from 1 species